AAGUGAACAUGUUCACAAUGGAAUUGUUCCCCCCAAAAAAUAAAUGCUGGAGAAAGGAGGUGGUUUUUUGGACUGCUGAAAGUGUUCAGAAAACAGCCAGUAGCUUCAGCUGAGUUUUAGUUAGAUUAUUGUUUCAUAAAAUCAGAAGAGACAGCAAGAGCAGGAAGAUCUGACUGGUGAGUUAUAUGAUAUCAUCCCUCAUGCUUCUGAUCCGUAAUUGCUACCUAUGGACUCUGAGUUUCAGGUGUUUGUCUGCAAGAUGCUGCAGGUGGGCAGGUCACAGGCUAUUCACCCCACCCAUAUUUCUACAUGUCAUAGUUCAGUCUAAGCCACACUGUCUAAAUUAAGGCCUGUCUGCAUCCAGUCACAUCCUCUAUUUUUAGGGUUCAUGAUAUCACCUGCUUCAUUUUUCAUACCCCUAGUGUGAAGAACAAAAGUCUGCUCCCGCUACAUGCAACAAUAAAACAUAAUAAAUUACAGUUCUUGGAACAAAAACUUUUAAAGAGUGGCAAGAAUUGAAAGCAUGAAGCAGGUAUUCUUCAUGUGAUGAAAAGGUAUUCUGGACAUAACCCACCAGGACCUUCUCACAGAAAAGUGAGAUGAAUGGAAAUUAGAGGAGAGCAUGUUUAUUUCUUUCUAAUUUUAGUUCGCCUUAGGAGAGAACACACGUACAAUUCUGCAUUCAUUGUGAGUUGUUACCAUAAAUACAAUACAUUAGCAAAACUGGUUUUGAGUUUGCUUUUAAAAAGAUAAAUAGAUGCCGUAUUGUAAAUAUCAAGAAACUACAAAGGAGACUAUAACUUUCUUAAUGAGAAAAGCAGACUGUGGGUUGUAUCCUGUUUCGUUCCAUUCAGAGUUGUCCCACUCUGAGUGGAACUAACAGUGGCUACAACCCACUAUUACCAAGGCAUCCAGUUGAGAGGAUGAUUUGCAUAAGGACUUUGCAAUCGUGAGGAUGAGCAUAAAAUUUGAUAGAUUGAGAACCUAGUGAGAUCCAUAGCUUGACCCGAGCCUGCAUGUCAUGGAUGUAUAAGGAAGAUGUCCAAAGUACUGCUAGCUCAUUUUUAGACAUUGACUGCCCUAAUGUUCACAGCUUGGCAAUAAAAAGGGAAAAGGGAAAGUUGGUGUGUUCCAGCAAAUGCCACGGACUGGCUCGAAACAUUGCCAUAAGCAGGAAAACUGGACCAAGGAUGUUGGGAGAGAUACAUAGCUGGUGGAUAACAGCACAAAGCCAUGAUGGACACCAAGGACCAUACUGUCCUGUUUCAAAAUUGGAGAGAGCACUUAGAUUUGCUCUGAGCCCCUCUCCAUACCUCUGCCAUUCCUCAGGAUGGAGUGUGGUGCAAUACAAGUCAGGACAUUAGUCACCGAGGUCAGCUGAAGUUCCUGUUAACUAUGUGGAGAAAUACAUGUUGUGUUCUUAAAAUUAAAUAUUUCAUCUAGAAGCCAAAGAUCAGGGGGUUUUUACUUCAUCAUUCUUCUGCAUCACCCUUAAAUUGUACAAGUAUAAUUGAGUUCUUGGCAGUUGGUUCCUCAAUAAAAUUUAAUCAUGAGAACAUAAGAGGCAUCUAGGUGGCCACUGUGAGGAUGCAACAUUGGAGUAAAUGAGCCUUUGACUUGAUCUAGGAGUGCUGCUCUUAUGUUCUUCAAGCUGCCCCUCUGAUAAAGACUGUUCCUUAUAGGACCCAAUGCUGAUAGGAUGACAGGCACCACCUUAUUCUUGGUCAACAGGGAAUUUUCCAUUGCAUUUGAUAACAAACAUGCACCUUGUAGAGCAGGUGUAGGGAACCUUUGGCCCUCCAGAUGUUGCUAAACUAUUAUACCCACCUUCCCUGGCCAUUGGUUGGGGCAGUUCAGCAACAUCUGGAGGGUCAAAGGUUCUUCACAGGUCCUGUAGACAGAAGAAAGCAGUGGCCCUGAAAUGGCAAGUAUUAGAUUUAGGAGAAUGGAGCAGGGAGACAGAAAGUACGCUGCAUCUUUUAAAGAACUCUCAGCUGGAAUCACAGAGAGAAGAGAAAAACAUGGAAACAGUCCAAUUUUUUGCCAUUUGGUUUCUCCCCCCCUCCCCACCCCCUCUGGGAACAGCACAGCUAUUUAUUAUUCAGGAAGUGUUGCAUUCAGUAUGAAUAUCUUCAGGGACUCAAGGCCUUGAGAACAGAGGAUGCUGGUUUUUAAAAAGACAAUGUCUUUCAUUUGCUCAGAAGUGACCUUUCAAUCCAGUCGGCAUAACAGACAACUCUGGAAGACCUGAAUGCAAAUCGGACCAUCAGCACCACUGGGUAUAAGCUCUGCUAUGGGUUCCCAGCAGCAACAUUCACC
rnacentral:lncRNA from 1 species